GCCCUGAUGCUGAAAUUGGUAUACAGGCUAGCUUCAGGAGCUAGUGUCCGCAAGGACAUGGGAGUUCGAGUCUCCCUCAGGGCA
rnacentral:tRNA from 1 species